UUAGGAGAAACAGCUGCCUCUCCUGCUCUUGAGAGUGUGACCCUGUGUGGAAGCAUCUUCUCUGUCAUCUGCAUGUUCGAAGCAACUUUAGCAGGCCAACUGGUGCUGGAACAGAUGCAGACUGAAGGAGUUCCAGUGUCCGCUACAUUGGGCCACCUUAUUGGGAUACUGGCUCACAAUACAUUUUAAGAGGAAGUCAUCAGCAUUUUAAUCCUCUACAAGAACCAUAGACACCCACGCAGCUGUUGUCAGAAGAAAAGGUAAGAAAAACAAUUUUUUUUCCAACAGCAGAAAAGAAUUUGAAUUACUACUUCUUUUAGUCACUUAUUUUUCUCACUCAUGUGCAGUAUUUUCUUUAACUUGGGUACCGCGUUUUGGUUACUAAUAACUGCUGAUCUG
rnacentral:lncRNA from 9 species